rnacentral:rRNA from 1 species
GUCCAGACUCCUACGGGAGGCAGCAGUGAGGAAUAUUGGUCAAUGGUCGGGAGACUGAACCAGCCAAGCCGCGUGAGGGAUGAAGGUACAGAGUAUCGUAAACCUCUUUUGUCAGGGAACAAAGGCGGGGACGUGUCCCCGGAUGAGUGUACCUGAAGAAAAAGCAUCGGCUAACUCCGUGCCAGCAGCCGCGGUAAUACGGAGGAUGCGAGCGUUAUCCGGAUUUAUUGGGUUUAAAGGGUGCGUAGGCGGGCUGUUAGGUCAGGGGUAAAAUGUCGGGGCUCAACCCCGGCCUGCCGUUGAAACUGGCGGCCCCGAGUGGGCGAGAAGUAUGCGGAAUGCGUGGUGUAGCGGUGAAAUGCAUAGAUAUCACGCAGAACUCCGAUUGCGAAGGCAGCAUACCGGCGCCCUACUGACGCUGAGGCACGAAAGCGUGGGUAUCGAACAGGAUUAGAUACCCCAGUA